rnacentral:misc_RNA from 1 species
GGAAGCUAUGGAAGAGUGUCAAAAACGUGGCCUCACUAAAUCAAUUGGAGUUAGCAACUUUUCAUGCGAGAAGCUGCAAACUUUGUUAAACAUGGCAAAAAUCCCACCAGCUGUGAAUCAAGUUGAGAUGAGUACACUUUGGCAGCAAAAGAAGCUAAUACAAUUUUGCAAGGAGAAGGGUGUUCAUAUCACUGCAUAUUCUCCUUUGGGAGCUAAAGGAACUUUUUGGGGAACAAACCAAGUUCUAGAGAACCAAGUGCUGAAAGAGAUUGCUGAGGCCAGGGGAAAAACUGUAGCUCAGAUUUGUUUGAGAUGGGUGUAUGAACAAGGAGGGAGUCUAAUCGUAAAGAGCUUUAAUAAGGAAAGGAUGGAACAAAAUCUUGACAUUUUUGAAUGGAAGCUCAGUCUAGAGGAAUCCUACAGGAUAAGUCAACUUCCACAGCACAAAGCAUAUCCUGGGUUGAUAUUUAUCCAUGAGAAUGGCCCUUUCAAGUCUAUUGAGGAGUUCUGGGAUGGAGAAGUUUAAACAAAAAUAUUUAGUCCUCAACUUACACAUUGGGCUUAUCUCACUCCAC